rnacentral:rRNA from 1 species
GUGCCAGCCGCCGCGGUAAUACGGAGGGUGCAAGCGUUAAUCGGAAUUACUGGGUGUAAAGCGCACGCAGGCGGUUUGUUAAGUCAGAUGUGAAAUCCCCGCGCUUAACGUGGGAACUGCAUUUGAAACUGGCAAGCUAGAGUCUUGUAGAGGGGGGUAGAAUUCCAGGUGUAGCGGUGAAAUGCGUAGAGAUCUGGAGGAAUACCGGUGGCGAAGGCGGCCCCCUGGACAAAGACUGACGCUCAGGUGCGAAAGCGUGGGGAGCUAACAGGAUUAGAUACCCUGGUAGUCCACGCUGUAAACGAUGUCGACUUGGAGGUUGUGCCCUUGAGGCGUGGCUUCCGGAGCUAACGCGUUAAGUCGACCGCCUGGGGAGUACGUCCGCAAGGAUGAAACUCAAAGAAAUUGACGG